ACCCAAUACAAUACCGAAACCCUUAUUUUCCCCUAAAUUAAAAUUUCCCCUGAACCCCAAAUUUUCCCCAAAUCAAACCCAUUUGCCGUCUCUCUUUCUCUUUUGGUUUGACAGCAAGCGGAAAGAUUAAGGGAUUUCAUUUCGAAAUCAAACCCGACUGAAGGCUAGCUUUUGCGAGUCCAACAAAUCAAUGUACUCUCAUUUAGUUGUUCUUUUGAACCCUAGACUUUAGCAUGCUGACAUUGUUGGUCAAGAGUUUUGGGUUUACGUCUGCUGCAUCGCCUUCAGUAGUCCUCCGCAUCGUCGUUGGCAGCUCUAUGCUACAUCUCCGUUGGCAUCCCUCUGCUACAUCUCCGUCGGCAUCCCUCUGCUACUUCUCUAGUUUUCUGCCAUCCAAUUUGCUUAGCUUCAAUCCACAUUGACUUAGGAAAAAUGCGUAGAAGAAAAUUACGAGAUUUAAGUAUUGUCCAGAAUACUCAAAAUUAAGAAGAAGCAAAUAGUGAACAGCAGACAGUUGUUGGAUCUUCGAAUGUACCGGAGACACUUGACGAGCUUGGAGAAUUUCAAACUGAAAGUGGUGCGACGCGUGGAGGUCGAGGACGUAUGAUGCUUAAAUUACAUCAUAUAUCUUUCAUUAAAUUUGAAGUAUCAUUUAGAAUGAAUGUUUUUGGCUGUAUUUUUAUGCUAAAUUUGUUGAUUUUGGUUGCAUUUCAUGCUAUAUUUGUUGAUUUUGAUUGGAUUUAAUGCAAGAAGGGUUGGAUAUUGAUAAAAAAUGUGCAUAUUAAAUCUGUCAAAAUUAGUGGCGUUUUUGUGAAAAGUGCCGUUAAAAGUCAGGGUUUUUAGCUGCGCUUUUCCCAAAAAUGUCACAAAAACGUCAUUAAAAACCAUGACUUUUAGUGGCGCUAUUCACAAAAACGCCGUUAAAAAUCCUGACUUUUAGCAACGUUUUUCUAGAUAAGCACCGCAAAUUUUUGCGGCGUUUCUUAUAGCGGCGUUUUUUGCGGCGCUUGUGAAAACGCCACAAAUAGUUUUAGCGAGGCUAAAAAAGUGCCGCUAAAAGUCUGUUUUCUUGUAGUGACGUAGGAUUAACUGUUCAAGAUUCAGAGGAGGUACAUAAAAGGAUGAAGAGCUAUUGUGAGUUUCAUGCUGAAGAAGGUCAUGAGAUUCAGGAAUACACUAAAUUCAGAGCUUUAGUGCAAAGUCUGAUGGAUAAUAAGGAGUUGGAAUUCUUUGAAGAUGUCAAAGGCUCAGAAAGAGGCGACAUCUACGCCUUAGAUGAAGGAUCAAUAGAGAAGGUCUCCAAGGUUAAUCACCCAGUGAUGAUUAUUUCACGGUCGAGAAAUAAUGAAGCAAGAACACAAGCUGCAUUGAGAGUCAUAAUUUAGAAACCCGUGGCUUUUCCUUAUAAAGAUAUCAAAAGGGUUCUAUGGAAUUAUGACUGAAACGUGAUGAUCCCAGGAGAGGAGAACUCGGUUAGCACUUCAGAAAAGAGCCAGGAUAUUGGUUUCUACACGCGUAGUGAGAGGCGUUAUGACCUUGAAAAUAUAAAAAGCGAGCCCAUUAAAGGAAAAACCCUGCAGUUGAACAUAAGAAAGAAAAGAUAGCUAGACUGGAAUCACUAGUUAAUGAGCCGGUAACUGAGAACAAGGCUAAGGAAUUAUUGAAAUUCUUAAAUUAUAGUGAGUAUAGUGUUGUGAAAUAGCUACAUAAAUGACCAAUCCGCAUAUUAGUACUAGCCUUGCUCUUGAGCUCAGAGACACAUCGUAGUGCAUUGAUGAAGGUGCUGAAAGAGACUUAUGUCGCUAAUGAUAUCUCUCUGAAUAAGCUAGAUCACCUGAUUAACAAUAUAAGUGCUGACAAUUUCAUCUUUUUCAAUGAUGAUGAAAUACCUCAAAGGAGCAUGGGAUCCACGAAAGCCCGAAAUAUCACUACCUGCUGCAAAUGAUAUACAUUGUCAGGGGUGUUAAUCAACAAUGGAUCUGCGCUGAACAUCUUGCCUCUAUCCACACUGAACAAAUUACUUGUGGAUAGCUCUCACAUGAAGACGUGUCAAAAUAUAGUGAGAAUAUUCGAUGGUACAGAAAGGAAGGUGAUGGAAAGGAUUGAAAUACCUCUCUUAAUUAGUCCAAACACCUAUGAGGUAGAUUUUUCUAGUGAUAGAUAUCAAGCCCUCUUAUAAUUGUUUGUUGGCUAGACCUUGGAUUCACUCGGCUGGGGCAGUGUCGUCGUCACUACACUAAAAAUUGAAGUUGGUAACGGAGGGUCGACUGGUGACAAUAAACACUAAAGAGGAUAUCAUUGCAUCCGUAACUAAUGACGCACCAUACAUAGAAGCGGAUGAUGAAACAAUAGAAUGUUCUUUUCGACCACUAGUGUAACACCCCUUACCCGUGCCCGAGACCGGGAUUAGGUACGAGGCGUUACCACUCGCAAACAAAAUCAUUCCGAAAAAACGGAUUAUAAAAUUUCAUUUCCAAAUUAAAACCAAUUAAACAAAA